GUGAGUCCUAAGUGGAUUUCAUAAAAACUUUCGUGAAAUAUUAUCCGGUUUGCACCAUUUUUGACCGUAAUAGUACAUUGACCACCAUGCCAUAGAUGUAUCUACACAAAAUAAUCACGAGGCGGCAAAUCUGGUGACAGUGAAGUCUAUUCAAGACUACCUCUUCUUUCAAUUCCGUGCCGUGAAACCAAACUAGACUGAUAUUGAUUUCAAUAAUGAACUGAAAGUAACAAAAUAAAUUGAAAUCUUGAUUGGUUAUGACACCAACCUAAUUAAUUGUUUACUUUCCAAGCCAUAAAGGGCCGAUUGUAAGAGACAAAGAUGAAAAUUACACAACAGUUACUUAUUUGGGCUAAAAUACUAUAAAGAUUUCGCACUCCCUACAAAAUGAAGGCCUAUAAAAGUAAUAAUAACGCAAGCAUGCAUAUUUACAAGGACAAAAUAGAUCUAGAGGUUGUAAAUUGUCGUGUGGAUUAUGUCCGAUCUUUCACACAGAUUAAACUGAAACAACAAAUGGAGCACACAUGAAGAUUCCACAAAACUGUUUUCAUAAUGGUAGAAUGAAGACAAACUAUGUAUAUUAUUCACCUUUUUUACAGAAAGACAGAAAUCUCUUCAAUUUAAGAAGAAAACUUUCAAAUUUAACUUCUGAAAAGUAUGAACAAAAAUGAAUUCAAAAACUCCCAAUAUCUCAUGAAUGAUAAAAAUCGAUUCAAAUAACUCUCCCCUUAUAACGUUAUUCUCAUCAGUUGAUCAUAUUCAGUACGUUUUUAGAAUAAUAGCUAUGAAAUGACCAAUAACUUAUUCACCUGUUUUUACUGAGACGUAGGUAAUGAAUUGAUGAUUAUAUCUGAUCUGUUCAGGUAAAUGUUUUUAUUUAUAAUGAUUAUAUAUGAUUUCAAUGUAAUAUCUGUAUACAAUUUUUCUAGUGCCUUUUUUGUUCAUACUGAAAUAAACUUUAUUUUUAUA